ensembl:snRNA U1 U1 spliceosomal RNA
AUAAUUACCUGGGAGAGAAAAUACCAUGAUCAGGAAGGUGGUUUUCCCAUGGCGAGGCUUAUCCAUGCACUUUGCAUUUGCAGUGUAAUUUCCCCAAUUAUGGGAAACUCAACUGUAGGAUACAUAAUAGUGGGAGACUGUUGGUACUUUCCCCUG